UACGUAGGUGGCAAGCGUUGUCCGGAUUUAUUGGGCGUAAAGCGAGUGCAGGGGGUUCAAUAAGUCUGAUGUGAAAGCCUUCGGCUCAACCGGAGAAUUGCAUCAGAAACUGUUGAACUUGAGUGCAGAAGAGGAGAGUGGAACUCCAUGUGUAGCGGUGGAAUGCGUAGAUAUAUGGAAGAACACCAGUGGCGAAGGCGGCUCUCUGGUCUGCAACUGACGCUGAGGCUCGAAAGCAUGGGUAGCGAACAGG
rnacentral:rRNA from 1 species